AACGAACGCUGGCGGCAUGCCUAACACAUGCAAGUCGAACGAGACCUUCGGGUCUAGUGGCGCACGGGUGCGUAACGCGUGGGAAUCUGCCCUUGGGUUCGGAAUAACAGUGAGAAAUUACUGCUAAUACCGGAUGAUGUCUUCGGACCAAAGAUUUAUCGCCCAGGGAUGGGCCCGCGUAGGAUUAGCUAGUUGGUGGGGUAAUGGCCUACCAAGGCGACGAUCCUUAGCUGGUCUGAGAGGAUGAUCAGCCACACUGGGACUGAGACACGGCCCAGACUCCUACGGGAGGCAGCAGUGGGGAAUAUUGGACAAUGGGCGCAAGCCUGAUCCAGCAAUGCCGCGUGAGUGAUGAAGGCCUUAGGGUUGUAAAGCUCUUUUACCCGGGAUGAUAAUGACAGUACCGGGAGAAUAAGCGCCGGCUAACUCCGUG
rnacentral:rRNA from 1 species